CGGGUAUAGUUCAAGGGUAGAACCUCAGCCUUCCAAGCUGAUGAUGCGGGUUCGAUUCCCGCUACCC
rnacentral:tRNA from 1 species